ensembl:lncRNA
AUGAAGCCCUUCCUUCUUGCUCCCCCAGAGUUCUUCCUUGAUUUGUCAACCAGGCAUGUGUUCCCCUCGCACCCCUCUGACUGCUCCUUCUCUGUCUCCUUUGUGUGUUCCACAUCAUUGUUUGAUUCCCUAACAGCGGGUAUCCCCAAGACUCUUUUCCCCUCUCCUCUCUCCCUUGAUCUCACCCUUUCUCUUUCAAGGGUCCAAUUAUCAUCUCUCUGGUCUCUCCCCCAGCCAAGGACUCCCAUGACCAACUCUUUGUUGAGCAUCAUUGAAACUGGAUGUCCAGCUCAUUGGACACAUGAGGAAAUGGAGGCCCCUGAGGGAGAGAGGGACAGGCCUGAGAUGCCACAGCCACAAAGCAGCCCCGCAGGAUGACCACCAUGUUCUCUGGUCAGUGGGCUUUAGCCGAGGGGCAGCGCUCCUUCCUGAUGGUUUUCAGUCCCGUCUGACUCCUUGUGACUCCAUUUGGGAGUUUUCUUCGCUCCUGAACUGAAGUGGGUUGUCGCUUCCUUCUCCAGUUCAUUUUAUGGAUGAGAUGAAGCAGCCUGUCCAGCCUCCACGCUCACACGACUAGUACGUGUCCGAGGUUGGAUCUGAACUCGGGUCUUUCACCCUAUCGGCGGCACCACCCAGCACAGCGUCAGGGUUUAAUCAGUGCUCGAUGACCGAUGGAUCAGGGAGGGAAUACGGUGAAGAAGGAAGAGGACAAGAUCCAAGUCAGAGGACCCGGGUUCAAAUUCCCUCUCUGAUGCCGGCCUGCCGGGUGAGCUUUGGAUCUGCCCAGGCCUCGCUCUCUGUGGAGAUCAAAUGAGAGGCUUUGCCAGAAACCUGAGAGCCUCUCUGAGGGGCCGGAAAGUCCUGGAGAAGCAUCAGGGGCCGAGCCAGGAAUAAUGUGCAGCUUUGGGGGGGUGCUGACCCCCAGGCUCAGGCAGGGGCCACCAAGGGGGUCCCAGCAGCCGUUCCCGCCAGGCCUCCAGGGCUCUCCGGGCAGAGGAGAAGCCGUCUCCAGGAGCCCCGGGACCUCUGGCUAUUGGGGGUACAUUUGUGGGCCUGUAUCCGUGUGUGUGUGUCCUGUGAGUCUGUGGGCUGUGCGUCCAUACGAGUUCAUGUGAAUCUGUAGGUUUGUGUGUCUAUCCAGGCAGACUCACAAGUGGCUGUGUGUCUGUGUUCGUGUAAACUCACAUGUGUCUGUGUUUGUGUAAACUCAUGUGUGUCUAUGUAAACUCACAUGUGUCUGUGUUUGUGUAAACUCGUGUGUGUCUGUGUAAACUCACAUGUGUCUGUCCAUAUAAACUCAUGUGUAUCUCUGUAAACUCACAUGUGUCUGUGUCUGUGUAAACUCACAUGUGUCUGUGUAAACUCACAUGUGUCUGUGUCUGUGUAAACUCACAUGUGUCUGUGUCCGUGUAAACUCAAGUGUGUCUGUGUAAACUCACAUGUGUGUGUUUGUGUCCAUGUAAACUCAUAUGUGUCUGUUUGUGUAAACUCACACGUCUGUAUCCAUGUAAACUCGUGUGCACCUGCCUAUGUUUAUGUAAACAUAUGUGUGUCUGUGUUCAUGUAGACACACAUGUCUGUGUCCAUGUAAACUCACAUGUGUCUGUGUCUGUGUAAACUCGCGUGUGUCUGUGUAAAUGCACAUGUGUCUGUGUCCGUGUAAACUCACAUGUGUCUGUGUUUGUGUCCAUGUAAACUCACAUGGGUCUGUGUUUGUGUAAACUCACACGUGUCUGUGUUUGUGUCCGUGUAAACUCACAUGUGUCUUGUUUGUGUAAACUCACAUGUCUGUGUCCGUGUAGACUCGCGUGCACCUGCCUAUGUUUAUGUAAACGUACGUGUGUCUGUGUUCAUGUAGACGCACGUGUGUCUGCGCCUCCCCUCCCGAGCAGGCUGGAUCAGGCUGGCUUCUCGCAGCUGGGAGGCAGGUCAGGUUUCCUGUGGACAAAGCCUGGCGGAGGAGGGGGGGCCUCUCGGGGUGGCUCCCUGGCUGGGCUCUCAGCCCAGAUCCCAGGCCAGGCAGGGGGUGAACAGGAGGCGGUGGCCCAGCCCUAACCCUCCUCAGUCAGCCCCAAGCCUUGGGCUUCCCGGCCAGGAAGUUCGGCCCGUGGGCCUCCCCGUGGCCCAGUUGAAUUUCUUUUGUUUUGGACACCCUCCUUCCACCUUAGAGUCAAGAAUUCUUAUUUCUAAUAGAGUCAUAAUUCUAAACAUGGGUUCCAAGGCAGAAGAGCGGCCAGGGCUGGGCAACGGGGGUGAAGUGACCCACCCAGGGUCACCCCCUGGACGUGUCUGGGGUAGAUUUGAACCCAGGACCUCCCCUCUAGGCCUGGCUCUCCAUCCACCAAGUUAAUUUCUGCUCCACAGUUAGGUACUUAAUAAAUGCUUGAUGAUGAACCU